AGCCCCGUAGUCUAGCGGUCAAAUCUUAUUGUGUUGUAAAGCCUGAGACCCCGGUUCGAAUCCGGGCGGGGCUA
rnacentral:tRNA from 1 species